UACGAAGGGGGCUAGCGUUGCUCGGAAUUACUGGGCGUAAAGGGCGCGUAGGCGGACUCUUAAGUCAGGGGUGAAAUCCUGGAGCUCAACUCCAGAACUGCCUUUGAUACUGGGAGUCUUGAGUUCGGGAGAGGUGAGUGGAACUGCGAGUGUAGAGGUGAAAUUCGUAGAUAUUCGCAAGAACACCAGUGGCGAAGGCGGCUCACUGGCCCGGUACUGACGCUGAGGUGCGAAAGCGUGGGGAGCAAACAGG
rnacentral:rRNA from 1 species